UACUCCUACGGGAGGCAGCAGUAGGGAAUCUUCCGCAAUGGGCGCAAGCCUGACGGAGCAACGCCGCGUGAGUGAUGAAGGUUUUCGGAUCGUAAAGCUCUGUUUCCAGGGAAGAACGUCCGGUAGAGUAACUGCUGCCGGAGUGACGGUACCUGAGAAGAAACCCCCGGCUAACUACGUGCCAGCAGCCGCGGUAAUACGUAGGGGGCAAGCGUUGUCCGGAAUUAUUGGGCGUAAAGCGCGCGCAGGCGGCUAUUUAAGUCUGGUGUUUAAACCUUGGGCUCAACCUGGGGUCGCACUGGAAACUGGAUGGCUUGAGUUCAGAAGAGGAAAGUGGAAUUCCUCGUGUAGCGGUGAAAUGCGUAGAGAUGUGGAGGAACACCAGUGGCGAAGGCGACUUUCUGGGCUGUAACUGACGCUGAGCGCGAAGCACCUUUUGCCAC
rnacentral:rRNA from 1 species